GAGUUUGAUCCUGGCUCAGGAUGAACGCUGGCGGCGUGCCUAACACAUGCAAGUCGAACGAAGCACCUUUUAAGAUUCUUCGGAUGAUUGAUUGGUGAUUGAGUGGCGGACGGGUGAGUAACGCGUGGGUAACCUGCCCUGUACAGGGGGAUAACAGUCAGAAAUGACUGCUAAUACCGCAUAAGACCACAGCACCGCAUGGUGCAGGGGUAAAAACUCCGGUGGUACAGGAUGGACCCGCGUCUGAUUAGCUGGUUGGUGAGGUAACGGCUCACCAAGGCGACGAUCAGUAACCGGCUUGAGAGAGUGAACGGCCACAUUGGGACUGAGACACGGCCCAAACUCCUACGGGAGGCAGCAGUGGGGAAUAUUGCACAAUGGGGGAAACCCUGAUGCAGCGACGCCGCGUGAGUGAAGAAGUAUCUCGGUAUGUAAAGCUCUAUCAGCAGGGAAGAAAAUGACGGUACCUGACUAAGAAGCCCCGGCUAACUACGUGCCAGCCGCCGCGGUAAUUC
rnacentral:rRNA from 1 species